CCCAGGAGACCAUAGCAACUGCCUAGCAACCAGCCAAAACACCCUAGCAACCGCCUAGCAACACCUUAGCAACCACCCCAAGUACCAUAGCAACUGCCUAGCAACCACCCAGGUUACCAUAGCAACCGCCCUAGCAACCACCCCGGGUACCCUAGCAACCACAUAGCAACACCCUAGCAACCACCCCGAUUACCCUAGCAACCAACAUGGGUACCCUAGCAACGGCCCUAGCAACCAUCAUGGGGACCCUAGCAACCGCCCUAGCAACCACCCCGGGUACCCUAGCAACCACAUAGCAACACCCUAGCAACCACCCCGAUUACCCUAGCAACCAACCUGGGUACCCUAGCAACGGCCCUAGCAACCA